CAGAUUGAACAGUUUUUUUAAAGAUCAGAACAUUUAAUAAUAUUCGGGUAAUAAAGCAGGAGGUUCAUUGUGUUCUGGAUGGAAUGACGUCAUAAGAGCGAACGGUGACGACCUUUGAUUCAAUAAAUUACAAAGGAAUGUAAAAUGUGGAGUGAAAUGUUAUGCUGUAGGUACAGAGGAAGCUUGCCUAAUGGUAUACCUGUCUGACGAGACAAGGCAAGCAAACGACGCCAUUGUUCCGAUAAAUGUUACGAAGAGCUCUGGGAUGUUGUUUCCGAUCAGAA